AACGAACGCUGGCGGCAGGCCUAACACAUGCAAGUCGAACGAGAUCUUCGGAUCUAGUGGCGGACGGGUGAGUAACGCGUGGGAACGUGCCCUUCUCUACGGGAAUAGUCCUGGGAAACUGGGGUUUAAUACCGUAUACGCCUUCGGGGGAAAGAAUUUCGGGGAAGGAUCGGCCCGCGUUGGAUUAGGUAGUUGGUGGGGUAAUGGCCUACCAAGCCGACGAUCCAAAAGCUGGUUGAGAGGAUGAUCAGCCACACUGGGACUGAGACACGGCCCAGACUCCUACGGGAGGCAGCAGUCGGGGAAUCUUAGACAAGGGGGGCAACCCCUGAGUCUUAGCCAUGCCGACGUGAGUGACG
rnacentral:rRNA from 1 species